rnacentral:lncRNA from 1 species
CCUGCCCCUCCGCAGCCUCCCGGCUCCGGGGGAAACAUCGCCGGUAGCGUUUCGGCGGCCUGAUUUUGCAAAACGAGGGACCACGAGGGCGGCCCCCCCCCCAAAAGCCGGCCCCGCGGGGCCUCCGGGGCGCGCGGGAAAGCACAGCCUUGUCCCCCCUCGGGCCCCGGCGCCCGGCGUGUCACCGCUCUCCUUCCCUCCGCUUCCAGUGCGUGUGUACACCCGUAUAUAAAUACAUAUAUAUAUAUAUAAAKAAAGAAAGAAAAUCCCAAACUCUGAUUAAAAUCCCCUUUUUCUUAUUCACCUGCCCAUCUUUCCUCUGCCUCCAUCUCCCCUUCCAUGCAAACUCAUAAUUAAUCGCUCAAGGCAAAAGUAAUGAAUGUUAAUUGGCCAUCUGUACAAAGACUAAUUAAAAUCUACCAUGCUGGGGAUUAAAACAUACCUAUAGCAACUGCCUGAAUUGAGAAUGAGACAGAGGAGAGAUUGAGAAAACAGCUGAAAGGCUUGUGCGGAGCGCGGCCGCGCUUAGGUGCGAGAUGAGCUGCGGCUCGGCGAGCUGAGAUGCUUUAUUAGGAAAAAAAAAGGAAAAAAAAGGGGAAAAAAAGAAAAAAAGAAAAAAAAAGGAAAAGAAAAGGGGGUGGGGAAGAAAGUUCGCCGCCGGGAGCUGUUUUCACGGGAAUAAAGGGCCGCGGGAGGUUCCCAAGGCGAAGCGACUCCCUCCGGACCCCAACGUUGAGGGUUUGGCUGGGACGAGGACCGAACGCGUCCCGAGGGGCUCCGGCCCCGCCGCCCCCGGGCAGGAGACGGUGGCGGGGGGCUGCGGGGCUCCGCUCCGCUCUUGUUUUCGCAGCUCCGGCUGUGUUUACUCCCAACACGGGUGACCGCCGUGGCCCUAUUACCGGCGCGGCUGACAGCUCGGCUGACGAGCGCGCGCGCGGCGGGAAUGCGAAUGCGGCGCGGUCCCCGCAGGAGAGCGCGGAGAGAAGGAGACCYGGCUGCAGCGCUGCCUCCUUCCAGCCCCCCCCGAGCUUUUAUUUGGUGGAGGAUGUUUGCAGCGAUGUCGCUGCUCCGGUGCAAAUCCCUUGUGUAAACACCCCGCGCUGGCUGCGAGAGGAUCAGAGCGGCUUUACAUGCUCCCUCGCAUGCUCCCGGGGGCUCUGGUGCUGUGCCGAGAGUGAGGAGCGCAGGGAGCUGCCGUUAGAAGGCCACGCGCGAGCAAGUGUUCAGUCUCGGGGAGACAGCGCUGCGGUGUUGUUCCUUUCGGCUUGUGGUGCACCUGGGGGGUGCACCAGGGAGAAGAGGGGUCCCCCGGGUCCUUCCGCGCUGCCCUCCAGCGUGGUCCCCACGCCGGGCCUGGCCGGGGGUGGCCAGCGCCGAGGGACCCGUCUCGCCCGCAGGCAGCCCUGUGCCGGCACCACUUUGCAGAGCGCUCGGGGAUGGGACGGGAAAGGGGACAAGGAAAGGAGAGGAAAGAGGGAAGGAAGAAAGGAAAAGAAAAUGAAAAGAAAAGAGCUAAAAAAAAACAGCGAGGCUCAGACGUGA